rnacentral:rRNA from 1 species
UACGUAGGUGACCAGCGUUGUCCGGAUUUACUGGGCGUAAAGAGCGCGCAGGCGGUCGUUCAAGUCGAGUGUGAAAGCCCCCGGCUCAACUGGGGAGGGUCACUCGAUACUGAUCGACUCGAAGGCAGGAGAGGGAAGCGGAAUUCCCGGUGUAGUGGUGAAAUGCGUAGAUAGUCAAGAGGAACACCUGAGGUGAAGACGGGUUGCUGGGCUGACACUGACGCUGAGGCGCGAAAGCUAGGGGAGCAAACGGG